CGCGUCUGAUUGACAGAUCUGGAGCAGUACAGUCUGCUGUUGGAUUUGCUCCACAGAUGCAAGGAAAGGAUGUCCUUGUGCUUUCUGUCUGCCUGACUGUGGCAACCAAGACUGAAUUAUGAAUGAAUACA
ensembl:snoRNA